GAUGAACGCUGGCGGCGUGCCUAACACAUGCAAGUCGAACGGAGAUUUAACGCUGAUGAGGCUUCGGCGGAAUCUUGUUAAAUCUUAGUGGCGGACGGGUGAGUAACGCGUGGGCAACCUGCCUCGUACUGGGGGAUAACAGUUGGAAACGACUGUUAAUACCGCAUAAGCGCACAGUGUCGCAUGACACGGUGUGAAAAACUCCGGUGGUACGAGAUGGGCCCGCGUCAGAUUAGCCAGUUGGCGGGGUAACGGCCCACCAAAGCGACGAUCUGUAGCCGGACUGAGAGGUCGGACGGCCACAUUGGGACUGAGACACGGCCCAAACUCCUACGGGAGGCAGCAGUGGGGGAUAUUGCACAAUGGGCGAAAGCCUGAUGCAGCGACGCCGCGUGAGUGAAGAAGUAUUUCGGUAUGUAAAGCUCUAUCAGCAGGGAAGAAAGACCCGCAAGGGAGAUGACGGUACCUGACUAAGAAGCUCCGGCUAAAUACGUGCCAGCAGCCGCGGUAAUACGUAUGGAGCAAGCGUUAUCCGGAUUUACUGGGUGUAAAGGGAGUGUAGGCGGUUUUAUAAGUCUGAUGUGAAAGCCCGCGGCUCAACCGCGGUACUGCAUUGGAAACUGUAGAACUAGAGUGUCGGAGAGGUAAGUGGAAUUCCUAGUGUAGCGGUGAAAUGCGUAGAUAUUAGGAGGAACAUCGGUGGCGAAGGCGGCUUACUGGACAGCAACUGACGUUGAGGCACGAAAGUGUGGGGAGCAAACA
rnacentral:rRNA from 1 species